rnacentral:lncRNA from 1 species
ACGACAGGCUUCAAAUCUCUAAAGACCUGCCUCUACACAAAGAAAAGAGGACAACCAGAGAAUGACAGAAGCACCAGAAUCUGCAACAAUAGCUGCUCUGAAUUAAAAGUUCCAGCAAUAGGUGUCCGCAAUGGCUUCAUUCCCACUGAUGUUUUUCCUCAUCAUUCUGGUGUAUCAAACAAUACUUCCUGAAGGAAGGGCAGUGAAAUGGACUGAGAAAGAACCCGAGAUAUCUGCUGAUCUGAAAGAUGACUUCAAAAUACCUCUUUGCCAAACUAUAAGAAAUAACAUAGAUGUUUGCUGGUUGUCAAUUGGCUCCGACAAAGACAAACCAUUGUUUUUAGGAUUCAUAAUUAAUUUUGAACAACGUUGGAUUAAUGUACUGCCUCGAAUAAAGUUUAACUAGGCAAUUAUUAUAAAUAAUGCACUUGGCAUACUACAUUAUCACUCAAGGGCCUAAUGUUAGGCACCAAUAAUGAAAUUUUACUCACUCAUUCCAAACACAUUUGACAUAUAAUUGAAGACUGAUUUUUUUCUAAAUAAACUAGGAGCCUCCUAGUGUCCAACACAGUGUCCAUUAUUAGUCUCUAUCAAGUCUGCAUCCUAUUCACUUAACAACAAAGAUAUGAGAAGAACGAAGAGUAUAAAUUAAUUCUAUAUAAUAAGAAAAUUAGUCUCUCCACAUAGAGGCAGAAUAAAAACAGUUCUGAAUAAGUUGUGAAUGUAGCAGAAAAGUAAGAAUUACCAUCACUUAAAAAUUAAAAAGCUAAACUUUCCUAUCUGAAAAUAGUGGUGCUCAAUAUUUCUAAUGCUAUAAUCCUUUUUAAAAGUUCCUCAAGUUUUGUUGACCAAGAAACAUAAAGUUAUUUCCACUGCUACUCUGUUUAAUAUUAUACAUUGUGAUAUUAAAACUAUGUGAUAUUACCCGCUGUGAAAUGAACAUUUGGCCCCCAAAGUGGUGGGUACAAAUAGGUUGAAACCCUCUGUUUUAAAUUUACAAGGAAUAAUUGUGUGAAAUUUCAGUAAAAUUAUCAUGGGCUGCUUAUGCUUCCUUAUUGUAAUCUAAUCAAAAUGGAGUGAAAUUAUGUUAUAAUUCAGACUAUGAACCUUUAUGCUUCUACUUCUUUUAUGUGAUUCUCUACUGAUUUCAUACACAUAUGUGAUAGAUUGUGAAUAAUUCACAUAUUAGAGACUCUUUUCUCAAUAAAUAGUUUUCUGAAUCUUA